CAGAGCAGCCUCCAAACCCUGGAGGGAACUCAACUGCACAGAAUCACCUCUGCCUCACAUAAACCCUAAAGAUUGUUUUGUAAACCUCACGGGUGCAACUCAAUUUCAAUCAAGCUCUCUAAUCAGGUUUGCCCUUAUUCCCAUUACCUACCAUUACCUUUAUGCUCUUAAUUUGGAUCAUCUGAAUGUUUGAGGUAUGAUGGAUGAAUUUCAUUAGGUUUUUGCCCACGGGUCAUAAUUAUGUAUGAAUGUAUAAAUAAUGCCU
rnacentral:lncRNA from 1 species